UCGCCGUUUCAGAGACAAAAACUCUGCACGGUUUAGCCUAGAUGGACCGCCGCCGCCGCCCCUUGUUCCCCACAUCGGCGGUGCCGGCGCCGCCGCUGGAGGACGAAAAUCUUCUCCUAGAGAUCCUGCUCCGCCUCCCUCCAUUACCAUCCUCGCUCCCCCGAGCUUGCCUCGUCUGCAAGCGUUGGCGCGGCCUCGUCUCCGACCCCAAAUUUCUCCGUCGCUUCCGCGCCCACCACUGCAAACCCCCCGCUCCUAGGCCUUUUCGUCAGAGGCAUCGACGGGCCCUCAUUCACGCCCACACUGGUCACGCCCUACCGCGUCCCCGCGGCGCGGUUCUCGCUGCCGCAGAGCCGCGGGGAGAGCUAGGCCUUCGUCGGCUGCCGCCACGGCCUCGCCCUCCUCAUCAACCAUACGCGUCUCGAGGCCGUCGUUUGGGACUCCAUCACCGGCCACCGGCGCUGCGUGGCCUUUCCACCGGGCAUCCACACCUACCAUUGGGUCCGAAGCGCGGCGCUGCUCUGCCCUUCCGGCACAGACCACGUGCACGGCCACGACUGGGGCUCGCGCCCUUUCAAGCUGGUCUUGGUGGGCGUCGGCAUUAAUGCUGAGCCCUCUGCAUUUGCUUGCAUCUACGAUUCAGAAUCCGGUGAAUGGGGAAAUAUCAUCUCAGCAGGGACUGCACAACAUGUUAUUUAUGCAAUGCGUGCCAGCGUCCUGGUUGGGAAUGCACUUCAUUGGUUGCUUAUUGGGGAUGGAAUUCUCAAAUUUGAUUUUGAGAGGCAGAGCUUAGUGGUGAUCGAGAGACCAUUAGUAGUCUGGUGCGUCCGCUUUCAGAUAUUGCGGACACAUGAAAGUAGGCUUGGCUUUGCCAUGUGGACAGAGAUGGGCAUGGAAAUAUGGGAGAGGAAGCUCAAUUCUGAUGGUGCCCUUGGAUGGGUGCUUCAGCAGAUCAUCCAACUUGACAAGCUCCUUCCACCAGGAUCGUUGAGAGAUACAGGUUUCUGGAAUCUUUCUGUCGAUGGAUAUUGGCGGUUCUUUCUUGGACCAACUUGAGUUGAUGCAACUCAGAAGUAUUUCUGGAAUACGUCACAGCCACUUUUAUCCCUACACAAAUUUCUAUACUGCAGGCAGAGGGAUUGGUGAUGGAAAUGAUGGGGUUAAAAUUUUGUACAAUACAUGAGACGAUCUUCCUGAAGGAUCUGCUGAUGUGCUGUGUCGACUGAAAAGGAUCCCUCUGCGCUUUUGAAGUGCCAACAUGAAGAAUUUUCUAUGUUCCAUUCUUUCGUGGCCCUGAUAUUGUUUAUGCGGUAAAGGGUGCAUAUGGCCAUCUUGCAACUGUCAACCACAGCGUGUGUUUUAAACGUCUAAUUUUGGUUGAAUUCACCAUAAUAAUGGUUUAUCCUUGUCAAAUUUGAGGACCAGCCAAAAUCUGGGUCCACUUUUGUUAUCGCAGUACAUUGAGCAACCGGCAUCUGUUGAAUCGUUUCACUGUUAAUUUGAUCUGCUGCCUAUGCCACAUGCUUUCAGUUUGAUCCAGACACAAUUUUGGUGUUGACGUUUUGUAUGUUGAAGCAGGCUGAGUAUGGUUCACAGUAGUAGUAACUAGCAAACAGAAAACUUUACAAGAUGCUCGGACAAAAUAAAUUUCAUCAUCCAAUCCAAUCCAAUGGUGCAGGACCACCACUUUGGCGGUAACUUUGGUGGAUGUAUCCAUCAAUGUCGAUGCGCCGUGAGCAUUUCGCUUUCUCCCCUCCCUUUUCUCCCAUUCCCGGAUGGAGAAGCAUCGACCACAGUGUCACUACCCGCAGAUCAGCUGGAAGCAGACUGAACGCUCCUUGUUCCGUCCAUGAAGCUGAAAUUCCAACUUUUCGCCUCAAAAAAGCAGGAAUGGCGGCACGCCGCGUCCGGAAAGAGAAAGGUGUGCGAGAAAAGAAUGGCCCAACAUCAAAGAGGGCCAGAGAUCAUAUUCGUCGAGUUGUCGCGUGAGCGAGCGAGGGAAGAUAAGAUAAGAUGCCUUGGGCCGCAACAAGUUGCAGCACAUAAGACAGUAUGGCCGCAGCAGCUAGCGACGCUUGCCUCAAAACGCAGAGAGACGGACAAGGACGGAGCACGGCCGGUUUGGUUGCAACGUCAAUUUUGUUGGGCUUAGGCUAAGGGUGACGUGGAAAGAGCAGUGGAGAACAUGGAACCGUGUACUGUAUGCAUGACAUGUGAUCGAACGGAAUCACAUCACAAGGUUCCAUGAUUUCAUUUAUCGGAAUGAGGAAACAACAUUAUUUUCAGAGCACACUGAGGACUCUUACUCUUAUCUGAACGAGUGAAGUGAAAGACACGCCCCAAAAACAGA